rnacentral:rRNA from 1 species
CCGGCACGGGUGAGUAACGCGUAUGCAACUUACCUAUCAGAGGGGGAUAACCCGGCGAAAGUCGGACUAAUACCGCAUGAAGCAGGGAUCCCGCAUGGGAAUAUUUGCUAAAGAUUCAUCGCUGAUAGAUAGGCAUGCGUUCCAUUAGGCAGUUGGCGGGGUAACGGCCCACCAAACCGACGAUGGAUAGGGGUUCUGAGAGGAAGGUCCCCCACAUUGGAACUGAGACACGGUCCAA